AUUUACAUUCCAGUGGAGAAGAUGAAGAAACAGAUGAAUAAAGAAGAUGAUUGCAACUUGGAAAAAGUGUGAUGAAGUAGGUGAUGCGUUGAAGGAUGGCCUGAAGGGCAAAAGCCAUCUCCCAUGCAACCACAUGCUUCAGGAGAAGCUGACCCUACACCUAGCUCCACUGGUGAAUCUAAUUGGUCCAAGGGUCGUCUUGGUCCCUUUGCCAGAGAUUGGCUCAUGGGGUGAAUGAUCCAGCUCCAGCUAAUGAAACAUUAGGGGAAUCUGCUGAAGAAUUUCCAAAAAGAGUUUCCUCAUUCCAAACAGAAAGCCAUAAGAAAGGAAUGUCAUGCCUAUAAUUGCUGCAGCUAUUUUAAUUCCAAGUAUGAGGUUGAAACAACCAUGGAUGGCCAAGUGAAGAGAUGGAAAAAGCAGGAUUCAGGAUAACUUUAGGGAAUUAUCGGAUGAGUACAUUGGACAUGGUCGCCAUGUGGCCUGCUGCCCCCGUGUACCACUUGGAGACCAGCCUAGCAUGGAAAUGACCAGAUGUUGGAAGCUGAGCUACUGUUUUCUGGGAAGCUUGCUAUCAUGUUUUGAACUGCCCUAUGGAGAAAGCAACAUGGCUAGGAAUAUGAGAGAGCCAACAGGACAAUGAGGCCCUCAAUACAGCAAGAAACCAAAUCUGCCAACAACCAUGUCUCAGAUUCUGAAGACCAGGACUCCUCAUGAAUCUGUCAGCCCCCCUCACCCCAGCUCUGGGCCUCUGUAUCACCACAACUGCCACCUCAUCAUUAUUUUAUUUCAUGCCAGUCACUGGACUAAACACCUUACAGGCUUUAUCACAUUUAAUUCCUUCAACAACACCAAGAGGCACUCACAUCUCUACCCCACCAGCAGCCUCUUAGAGAAGUGAGAACUCUAUUUUAGAAGAGAGAAAAGCACUUCUCAGUACACCUCCCUUUCCUUUUCAUAGACGAGUACUGCAUCAUGUAACUACCUAUGACCACAAGUAAAGGCUGGAAAAGUGAGUAUAUUGAAAAAAAAAAAAAAGCCAAGUUUAUUGUGAUUGAAUUAGCAAGAGCAAUCAUGAUUUAUCUCUCAGGGCUGUGUACUUGGCAGCUGAAAUAAAAUCAGGAUUCUGUUA